rnacentral:lncRNA from 1 species
CAUUGGGGUGUUGCACAGAGCAUUGUGGUGAAAAUCCAGCAAACAAAAGAAGAACUAAGAACUAUAUGGAAGCUGACAUUGUCUUGUUGUCAGCCAUAUUGCUACCCUUAGCCAUUUUUAUGGAACAAAAUGUCUGGUGUCUAAACUGAUUUCUUUAUACUCUGUGAAAGACUUAUUCUAUUUUUCUGAACUAUGCUGAACUAUUGAACUAUUUUUAUUUUUGUAGAGUUAGCCAGAGAGAGAGGAAGUGUUAGCUGACCCAGAGUUAGCUGUACUAUGUGUGUUUUUGAUAUAUGUUGAGUGUGCCAGGGAUGGAUUCCCAUGUUUUGAGGCACUGCGUGAGGAUAUGACUGGUUUUGACUGGACUUUUGGAAUAGGGAAAUGGUUAAAAGAUAUAGGACGCAAGGUCCUGGUUGUGCAAUAAUAUAGUUGCUAUAAGCCCAAGUUCCAUUCUGUCUUAAACAUCCAUUUUCUAUAUAUCUGUCUGCAAAAGUAUUAAGUGGUUUUUGUUUUGUUUUUUUUCUGCUGAGUUUCUGUUUCUUGUAGACCACAUGAUUGCUUGGGAAUGCCAUAAUCUGGACAUUUCUCUGUCUUGGGAGAAUGUUAACCGAUGAUAUGAGCAAUAUAUAUUGCUCAAAGAGGGGUAACAAUUGUAAUUAUUGGGGCUCAGUUGGAUGGAACACCGGGACAGAUUGGGGUUAUAAGCCACAGAAUGCAUUAGAUAAAAAGGAUACGAAUGGGAAGUCCCUCUUGACUAGAAUGACCCUAACAAAGCUAGGUACAUGUACCCCUAUAGGGCAAACUGGGCACUCCGUGAAAUUUACCUUAAAUAUUUUACCUCUAGACAAACUCUUGUUAAUCCUCUAAAGCCCCACAUUCAAACCCUUGGUGAUAUGAUGGCCAUAGCAGAUCCCACGUUUGGAGAUACCAUAGCGUUAGAAACAGGGUAUGCAGAUACAAACCUAUGGCUGGAAUGGUUGAGAUAUAAUGCCCAUUCCAGCAAUAGGUCAAACUGUUAUGUAUGUGGUAGUGCCAGACCUCAUCUAGGAACUGUACCCUUACAUGUCCCUGAUGAGUACUGGGAAUGUUUCCUAAGUUUGUUUUCAGGUACUACUGUUAAUACUACAGGAUGUGAAGAAUGGAAAAAGGGUCACCCUAUUGGUGAACCCAAGUUUAAAUUAAAUGAUGUUGUCUCAGUAUACCCUGGUAAUUAUACUUGUUGAUAACUUUUCUUCAGGAUUCUGCUCCGCCUACAGUAAUAUUACCUUAGUGAAUCAAAUACAAUCUAUAUAAAAAUACGUUCUAGACUCCCCACCCCCUGGAGAGGAGAAUGUGCCCCAGCCAAAAUAAUCAUGCCCCUCCAUAUAUUUGGCGACUCUCUCCCUGAAAUUAAGGUUGUAACUUAUUCCACAAGAAGGAAAAGGGAAUCCCCACAAGGUAGUUUCGACCCACAUAUCUAUCUAGAUGCCAUUGGUAUUCCAAGAGGGGUUCCUAAUGAAUUUAAAGCUAGAGACGAGGUGGCAGCAGGAUUUGAAUCAAUAUUUCCCAUUAUAACAGCUAACAAGAAUGUUAACUGGAUUAAUUAUAUAUAUUAUAAUCAGCAAAGAUUUGUAAAUUAUACACAAGAUGCAUUACAAGGUCUUGCUGAACAAUUACAGGCUACCUCACAAAUGACUUUCCAGAGUAGAAUGGCCCUUGAUAUGAUUUUAGCAGAAAAGGGAGGAGUCUGUAAAUUACUUGACUCCGGUGUUUGUUGUACCUAUAUUGCAGAGAACACUGGCCCUAAUGGUAAAGUAACCCUAGCUAUAAAGAAAUUAGAAGACCUGUCCAUAGAAAUGAAGAGGAAUUCAGGUAUUGAUCACCCAUGGGCAGAUAUGUUUAAGUUUGACAGUAUCCUAGACUAGCUAAAGAAUAUUGCAAUAAUUAUUGUUAUGGUUCUGAUCCUUGCUCUACUUGUUUAUGCUAUUUUCAAGAUUAUUGUAUUCUGCAUUUGCAAACAUACACGCAACACUGUUCCUGUAAAAUCCCCAGCUUGCUAUGAUGAGUAUCUCCAAAUGUAUACACAUAACCGAAGCAAUGGUGAACAUGCUGAUACAGGUCUAUAAGUUUGUGGUACUGGUCAGAUGCCUAGUCCUAUGCUAUGGGAAUAGUGGCCGAAGACAUAAUGAAAGACCUGCAGGAUUGGCUAGCAAUCCUGAAUAUACCAUGGCAGAUGGCUGGUUGUCUGACCAGGACUCCUUUAAUAGGGUAUGAGCAAGAUAUU